rnacentral:rRNA from 1 species
GAUGAACGCUAGCUACAGGCUUAACACAUGCAAGUCGAGGGACCGGCACGCGUGUGAGUAACACGUAUCCAACCUGCCCUUUACUCGGGGAUAGCCUUUCGAGAGAAAGAAUAAUACCCGAUGUAAAGGGUGCGGAUGCGUUCCAUUAGGUUGUUGGUGAGGUAACGGCUCACCAGGCCUUCGAUGGAUAGGUGCUCUGAGAGGAAGGUACCCUGCAUUGGAAACGCGGAACGGACAAAAAUGCUAGGGGAGGCAGGAGUGAGGAAUACUGGGCAAUGGGAGUUAGCAUGAACCAGCCAAGUAGCGUGAAGGAGGAAGGCUUAUGGGUCGUAAACUUGUUGUAUAUAAGAAUAUGUAUUAUCUGAAUAAGGAUCGGCUAACUCCGUGCCAGCAGCCGCGGUAAUUC